CUCAAAUGAUUAAAUCAAUUUAUUUGUUAAUUUAAGCUCAAGAGCAAAGGGGAACUAGAUCCGAUAAAGGGAAGGAAAAAGUGGUCGAAUAGCCAUCGAAAUCGUUCGACGACAUCCGAGAUUUUAGUUCUUCAGCUAUCGGACUCGGGAUUUUGAAGUCGAAGUCGCCCACACUAUCAAAGCUCCCUUUGGUAUACUUUUGGUUGAACUUUGAAAUGGCAUGUAUAGGACUACCCUUUUGUUGUUGGUCAUGAACCCUUCGGUUUUGUGUAAAUUUGGAUAGCCAUGCGAAAAUGGCUUAAAUAUACUUUGAUCAUAGCAUUAUAAUCGUUUUGUAUGUUGUUCAUCGAGAGGUAUGGAAAUGUUGGUAACGGUUAGCCAUGGGAAUGGUUAUUCAUGAUCA